UCAAAAAAUACUCUUUAAUAAAGAUAAUUUGAAAAAAUUACCUGUUUGUAAUAAAAAUUUCAUCAGAGUGUAUAGUAUAAUGUAUACUUUUCUGUCACCACUACAAAAAUAUUUCGACAUUUUUAAGUGUGAUUUUUACUGCAGUGGAGAGCGCUAUAAGAGCUGUAAGUUAAGAGCAUGGCUAACGAUUUCACCAGGAUUCGAAAGGCAUAGAACGUCACUAUCAGGGAAAGUGGAAUGCAAGAACAAUGGGAGUUAAAGUGAGAUGAUUCAAGACGGAAAUGCAACUGAAGAUUUCACAGGUUUCAAACCACUGACAGUUAUAGAUUUCCUGUCUCUAUUUGAUGGUUAUCAUUUCCGAUAUUUACUUUGGUGUACCUACUUAUUUUCAAGAAAUAAUAUUUUGAAUUUCGAACUUCAUAUACCUACUUGGCUUGGAUUCAUAAUUUUGUCAAAAUGUUAUUCCAAUUUAGUUGCGCUAAUAAUAAGUUUUAUCCGUGGAACUGAAAGAUAAAAUCAUGAUUUUUUUUUCAAUAAUUUGUUUCUUUUCAAAGUAUGUAAAUAUCCUUAAAUAA